rnacentral:rRNA from 1 species
GAGAAGUUCAAGAGGGCGUGAAACCGCACAGAAGGAAACAGAUAGAGCUGAUAAACGUUGCUUCAUUCAUCCGAGUCGGGUUUGAACUGUUGACUUCUAUUUUGUGAAGGAGACUGACGGUUCAAUGCUUGAGGAGGUGUAUUUGUUGCAGCGAUGCUGAGACCGUUGCAGGAUUCGACAGAUCGUUGUGUAGAGCAACCAUUUAUGGAGAUGCUACACUUCGUUAUGUCUUUAUUUUGUGAUGGAAGGGAAUUUGCCUAGUGUGGCUUAAGUCAUGUAGUUGUCACUGUCGAUCGGAAUGCUAUACCAAACAGGUGCUGGUAAAGCUACUCUUCGGCUAAAGAUGGCUAUAAAAUGGCGUUCUUCUCAGUAGAAAAGUCAGUCACCUAUCUGACCCGUCUUGAAACACGGACCAAGGAGUCUAACAUGUGCGCAAGCUUAGAGGUGAAAAACCUGGAAGCGCAAUGAAGGUGAAAGUUGAUUAAUCGACUUAUAUGCGACCCUCUAUUUGAGGUGCAGCAUAGUCCGGUCUUGUCCGCUUGUCGGUGGGGCUGAGACAGAGCGUACACGUUGGGACCCGAAAGAUGGUGAACUAUGCCUGAGCAGGACGAAGCCAGAGGAAACUCUGGUGGAGGUCCGAAACGAUUCUGACGUGCAAAUCGAUCGUCAGACUUUGGUAUAGG